UCAGGGGUCUCGGGCAUCUUAAUGGAUGUUAUUUCCAGCCUUCUAGAAGAAAAUCUAGCUGAGCUUCCCUGGUCUGUUCUGGGCUUGGAUGUCUGACACUGAAGAGAUUUAAUGCCUAUUAUCAUUGACAGUCCUUUGGAGGACAGACAGACUCAAAGCCAUUCUCAAGGAUUCUUUCUUUUAUUUCUAAAAUACCUUUUGACCACUGGAAAGGCAGCGGAACUUGGCUUUUGUUUCUUUUAGUGUGUUCGCAGCAAAACUGAGGAGGGAAAGGGUAUCUCAGCCAGGCGUUUUCUUUCUACUUUUCCUUCUACUUGAAAGACUCCAUUGUUCCACCUCCAGUUACAGCCCUGGAGAAAGCUACUAAAGAUCACUGGAGAGAGAGAGAAGGCUGGCUACUUUUGUAUUCUCAGCCUGGCAGGCUGUGGCAGCACGGGCUUUUACAGAGGGGUGGAAGCAGAUGCCAGCCAUAUUCCUGACGUCUAAUGGCUUUAUCACAACUACAUUAGCGUUGCUUGUGCUUGAGUCUAUCAGGGCAGAAGGCUUUGCUUGACUUAAGCUGACUUUAGAAACACACAAUAGCAUAGUUGGCUGGCAGCUGUGAAGGGAUUUAAUUAGGCGCCAAGUCCUCCAAGCCAACUGCCCCAUGAGCCUCUGUUCAAUUUAUUCGACUCCCGGAUCACUGUAAGAAUGCUGAGGUUACAGCUGUGUACCACCUCAUCAAGCUUUCUCCUGGGUUUCAGGGAUUGAACUUGGUUCAUCAAGUUUGUGUGGCAAGUACUUUACCCAAUGACCCAUCUACCUUACUAGCCUUAGCCCUAUGCUCUCUCCCCCACACCCCCGGGUGUGUGUGUGUGUGUUUGUCUCUGUGUUUCUGUCUCUGUCUCUCGAUCACUCUCUCUUGCUUUUUCUCUCUCCUCUUUGUCUCUCUUUCUGUGUCUUUCCGUUCAUCUCUGUCUCUGUCUCAGUGUGUGUGUAUAUGUCUGUCUGUCUUUUUCUGCCUCUUGGCUUUCUCUCUGUCUCUCUGUCUCUGUCUCUGUCUCUCUGUCUCUCUGUGUGUGUCUCUGUGUGUCUGUUUCUGUUCUCUGUGUUUCUGUCUCUCUCUUCCAUGCUCUGUGUCUGUCUCUCCCUGUGUGUCUCUGUCUCCCCCACCCCCCAUUUGUACAGCCUCACUAUGUAAGCCAGGAUGGCUUUAAACUCCUAAUCCUUCAGACUCAGCCUCCAAAGUGUGGAGAUUAUAGUCAUGGUAGCAUUGCGCCUGUCUUUUGUAUUGUUGUUUGUUAGUUUUUUCACUGAUUGCUUGGUUGGUUGAUUUCUUGAGAGAGGCUCUUACACUAGAACUCAAGCGCGAUUCAUACUUGAUAUAUAGCCCAAGCUAGCUUUGAACUCACAAUAGUAGUUCUCCUGCCUCAGCUUCCCAAAUGCUGGAUUUAUACCUUGAAUUCCUUGACUACUUCUGUGCUGUUAGAGCAGUGAAGGCUCUGGCUGCUUUUAUGUAGUUACAUGCCGAUAUAUCUUCUAAAAUUAGAAAAUAAAAUACACGGUUAUGACUAUAAGUCUGCAAAGAACCAUAGUGAAGGGGACGGACAUGCCCAGUGUGAGACUAAAGCUAUAGCUGAAUUAAUUCCUUAGUGUUCUCUGUGAGGUUAAUAACUUAUUAAUAUAAAUAGGACAAACUGCCAAGGUUUGUUUUGGAAACUUGGCCACCAGUGUGAUGAUGCUAAAGACCUUAUGGCAGACUCAGGGCAGUUGGGAUUGCAUCCUUGAGAGAGAUUUACUCUGUGUUUGUGGAGUGAGUUAGUGGUGCCCGCAUGUUACAGCUGCUCUUCAAGGGCAUCCUGCCACCGUGGUGCCAUCUCCCAUGAGGCAUUUACCAGGGCCAGUAUUGUGUCCUUGCACUCUCAAAUUAUGAGCUAAAUGCAUUUUUUAAAAAAGGGACUAGCCUCUGGCAUUUUAGUAUAGUAAGGGACUAGCCUCUGGCAUCUCAGUAUAGUAAUAGAAAACUGGCAAACACCUUGGUAAAGGUGCAGCACAAACUGAUAGGGACAGAAAUGCAUAGAUGCCAUAGAUGCCAGGAUGCCAUAGAUGCCAGGAUGACGUUCCGGCUACCAAUUAUUUGUGAUGAGCAUCUUUCCUGAGGAAGAGAGUGAUGGAUAAAUGUUAGUUAACUGAGAAUCUAUGCUGUAUGUAUGGAAUGAAGUCGUGAAAGCUGACUUGGAAUUGCAAAGCCAAGCCAUUAUCAGGAAUAGCAAUGAGGCAAAACACACACACACACACACACACACACACACACACAGAGAGAGAGAGAGAGAGAGAGAGUGCUAACCUAGGCUCAAGAGCUUUAGUGUCCUCCCUAGGAUAAAACACUUCAUUAGCAGGCAUAGGAGCAGAUGGCAUGCUCUCUUCAGUGGUCUCAUCCCCUUCUGAUAGGAGAGCAAUAAUUUGUCUUCACAGAUAUAUCAACUUAAAUCACCUAUUUUUUUUGUAGCCCUUCCAUAAACUCAUGCGGAAAGGACUUUCCUCACCUGUCAAAACAGAUGUUUUACUUCCAGGCUUUCAAAUGAAAAGUAAUUAGUUAUAAAAAUGCACAGUAAUUACUUAAAGUUGGUGUGUCCAUGUCUUGGAAAAACAAGGACCCCCAGGAGCAAACUUUUCCCCUUUUUCUGACUCAUUCGUGAUGACUCAGGUUUGGUCACUCUGGUCAGAAACUAGAAAAUAUUUGCAAGAGAAAAAAGGGUGCAUGAGAUACUAAAAAUUUUGAAAAAAAAAAAGAAGUUAAUCUUGCUGCUGACUUUUCCUAAUAUUUUGCAAAAAAAUGCUCAGUUUGGGAAUAGUUCUAUUAACAUGUUAACCAUAAAAUGGAUCAGAAACCAUGAUAUUUACUUUGCAGAAAAUACAAGGUUUGUAUGAUGUGCCCUGGUGCAUUUUUAUAGAAGUGGGUUUUAACAUGAUAAACUCUCAGAAUUGGACUGAGGAAUUAGAACCAGAUACCACAUUCUUAUAAACUGUUUCUCUUUCUGUUAGGAAUGUAUCUAUAAAGACUGGCCUUGGCACCUCUGGUAAGAAUGAGCUAGUGAUAAACCUCAUGUGUGAUGAUGGCUUCUUUCAAAGAGAAGCACCGGGAUUUGAAAGCCAUUGGUGGGGAGCAUCGUGACCCUGUCCUUCUGGAAAUCCUCACCUUGACUGCAGAGGACCUGGCUGUUGCUGUCUUAGGAAUCAGUUGGGCUUGUGCUAGUUGACAUAUCUAACAUUUCUUUGUCUUUCUCUUUUCUUAAGGAUAAUCUUUCUACACUUCACAAUGUUCAGAUUCUCCAGAGUUCUAGACUUGACCCACCGUUCAUCCUAAUCCUCUGGACUUCUAACCAGAUCCCUUCUCUCCCUGAGCCUUCAUUAUCAGCCCUCAUAGACUCCCUAGCUCAUGGUAGAGCCAUGUCAGAUUCCCACUGAAUGGUUCUAGCCAAUGGACCUCAGACACUUAGAUUCCUCCUCACAAAGCUAAUCUCUUGUCACUUUUCUUUUAUGAAAGAUCAAUCACCUACUCCAGAAACUCCUAAAAGGAAACAAAAUACAAAUAACAUAAACAAGAGUCAGCAGUGUUUUUUUCCAAAUCAAUUUAUGCCUGUUGUAUUUUCUAUUUAAUAUUAUAAAGCAUUAAAUAAUAUAAAAG
rnacentral:lncRNA from 1 species